GCAGCAUACAACCACUCACGAAGAACAGCACAGUGUUGGCAAGGAGAAGUUUCUUAACCUUUUGAGGUUGUUGGCCUGCCUUUCUGUGACUUUGUUGAUCUGCUACCUGUUAAAAAGACACCGACAAGGAAAAGCAGAUUUGCAAACUCCAACAACGGUUGAGGCAUGAGCUGAAGAUAUUUUAGAUAGCGGUUUGGCACAGCACACGGAAAAUCUAUAAAUAUUAUCUCUGCUCGUCUGUUUGUUAAGCAUUGCAUUAUUUUUGUGAGCUGUUAUUUUUAUGUUGUACAGUAGCUUUCUCCUUGUUCUAAUUUUGUAUAUCAUGUACAGUUGCUGUUCUCCUAACAUCCUUAAAGAUCAAAUGUUUAUUAAUAGGAACUGAAAAGAACAAUACCUGAUGCUGAUGCAGGCCUUUAAUACGUUUAUUCAAUCAUUUCAUUUGGAUGAGAUGAAAUGACCAAAUGAACUGAAUGAUCUCUGCACUUAAUGAACACGAGUUGAAGUUAGCAAACUAGUUACACUAGUAUGGUAAAGGAAGAUAUUUGAUACAGUUCAGGUUAAGAUGACAAAUAUGCACUGAGCCUCUUCUGCAAAUGCUUUUUCAUGAACCCGUCAAUCACUUGUGUGUUUGGUUAAAGUGGCUAAGACUUUUUUCUAAGUGAACACUUUCAUAUAGACAAUUCUUGUUGGUUUCUGUGAGUUGCCAUCUCUGAUGAUUCCUCAAACCACACUGGAAAAUAUCAUAGACUUUGCUGUAUUUACUCUGGAUGUUACUUACUCAAUUUUCCAUACGAUGAUUUAUAUCACUGUUGUUUGGUCUCAUUAAAUGCUUUGAAUAUAAAUCCUUACUGAAUGUAAGUGGAUGAGGAUAAAAUAGCAAACUUGUAGAGCUUUUUGUAGAAUGAUGAGCAGGAAAAUAUUAAAGUACUACAAUGUUCUACAACGA